CCUGUAUUAGCAGACCUUCAGCGCGGGCAUGCUACUUCCCGCGAUUUAUGCAAUGAUAUGUCAACCCAUCUGAUAAGUAGGCUAUGAGUGUCUUCAUAAUUGACUCUGCCUUGGACAUACAGAAAGGCCACCCAAGACCAAUGCAGGCCAGAAUCCACCCCAACAGCCUUUAGACAGACGCUGUGAGUAGAUUAUGCCCAACCCUCACCCCAGGUCAUCGAUGGCCAGCCAGCGUAUACGGUGAGACGUCUCCUGAGGGUUCGACCACGGGGCAGGGGUUUCCAGUACCUGGUUGACUGGGAGGGUUAUGGCCUGGAGGAGAGGUGCUGGGUUCCUGCUAAAGAUGUCCUGGACCCGACCCUCAUCGGCGAUUUUCUUUCACCUGUCCUUGUGAUGGUCUCCACCCCCUCCAGGUGUCGGUUAUUUCCCCCAGUGUAUUUAUCCCUGUGUUUCCUGUCUCUCUGUGCCAGUUCGUCUUGACUGUUUCAAGUCAACCAGCGUGUUUUCCCCAUGCUCCUGCUUUUGCUAUUCUCUCUUUUGCUAGUCUGUACCCAACUGCCCUGACCUCGAGCCUGCCUGCCACUCUGUACCUCCUGGACUCUGAUUUGGU